GAUGAAGAACGUAGCAAAAUGCGAUACUUGGUGUGAAUUGCAGAAUCCCGUGAACCAUCGAGUUUUUGAACGCAAGUUGCGCCCGAAGCCUUUUGGCCGAGGGCACGUCUGCCUGGGCGUCACGCAUCGCGUCGCCCCCCACAAUUCUCCGUAAAGGGAACGUGUGUUUUGGGGGCGGAUAUUGGUCUCCUGUGCUCAUGGCGUGGUUGGCCGAAAUAGGAGUCCUUUCGAUGGACGCACGAACUAGUGGUGGUCGUAAAAACCCUCGUCUUUUGUUUCGUGCUGUUGCUCGCAAGGUAAACUCUUUAAAAACCCCAAUGUGUCGUCUCUUGACGACGCUUCGACCGCGACCCCAGGUCAGGCGGGACUACCCGCUGAGUUUAAGCAUAUCAAUAAGCGGAGGA
rnacentral:misc_RNA from 1 species